rnacentral:rRNA from 1 species
ACACUCCUACGGGAGGCAGCAGUGGGGAAUUUUGGACAAUGGGGGCAACCCUGAUCCAGCAAUGCCGCGUGAGUGAAGAAGGCCUUCGGGUUGUAAAGCUCUUUUGUCAGGGAAGAAACGGUGGUGGCGAAUAACUACUACUAAUGACGGUACCUGAAGAAUAAGCACCGGCUAACUACGUGCCAGCAGCCGCGGUAAUACGUAGGGUGCAAGCGUUAAUCGGAAUUACUGGGCGUAAAGCGUGCGCAGGCGGUUGUGUAAGUCAGAUGUGAAAUCCCCGGGCUCAACCUGGGAAUUGCAUUUGAGACUGCACGGCUAGAGUGUGUCAGAGGGGGGUAGAAUUCCACGUGUAGCAGUGAAAUGCGUAGAUAUGUGGAGGAAUACCGAUGGCGAAGGCAGCCCCCUGGGAUAACACUGACGCUCAUGCACGAAAGCGUGGGGAGCAAACAGGAUUAGAUACCCUGGUAGUCCCAUGA